rnacentral:rRNA from 1 species
UACGUAGGGGGCAAGCGUUGUCCGGAAUCAUUGGGCGUAAAGCGCGUGUAGGCGGCCAGGUAAGUCCCUUCUGAAAGCCCGGGGCUCAACCCCGGGAGGCGGAUGGAUACUGCUUGGCUCGAGUCCGGAAGAGGCGAGUGGAAUUCCCGGUGUAGCGGUGAAAUGCGCAGAUAUCGGGAGGAACACCAAUGGCGAAGGCAGCUCGCUGGGACGGUACUGACGCUGAGACGCGAAAGCGUGGGGAGCAAACAGG